UUUCCGGCGGAGCCCUAGGCGGACCGGUGCAGCAGUCAUGGCAGCGGAAGAGAAGGAUCCUUUGAGCUAUUUCGCUGCUUACGGGAGCAGCAGCUCAGGCUCCUCGGACGAGGAGGAUAACAGCGAGCCGGAGGAGACAAGUCGUAAGGCCCAAGAUCCAGCGAAGUCGGCCGGCGGCAAUGGGAACAAGGUGGAGAAGCGGCUGCCUGGACCAGACGAGCUGUUCCGGAGCGUGAGUCGCCCGGCCUUUCUCUACAGUCCGCUCAACAAACAGAUAGACUGGGAGAGGCACGUCGUCAAAGCUCCAGAGGAGCCUCCAAAGGAAUUCAAAAUAUGGAAGUCAAACUAUGUACCACCUCCGGAGACGUACUCUACAGAGAAGAAACCUCCCCCUCCAGAGCUGGAUAUGGCAAUAAAAUGGUCCAACAUAUAUGAGGACAAUGGUGAUGAUGCCCCACAGAAUGCUAAGAAAGCUAGGCUUCUACCAGAAGGGGAGGAGACAGUGGAAUCAGAUGAUGAAAAAGAUGAGCAUACUUCUAAAAAGCGCAAAGUAGAACUGGGAGAACCAACAAAGAAGAAAAAAUAGACAAGAAUGACAAGAAUCUUUGGACUGCAAAACUUGUGGGUCUUUUUGGCAAAUUAAGUUGAUACUAUAAAUUAUUAUGAAACAACGUCUCCAUGAAAAUAUAUGUUAAUUAACUAAUGAGUAUUCCUGCUGGAACGUUCCACUGUAGAAUUCAUUUUUUAUUUAAAAAUAUGUAUUUAAAACUGAAAUGGUGACUUGUGAUUGUGUAAUUGACAAUGCUUGGAAGCAUUCUUGCUACCGCAGAAUUGGUGACAUGCUUUGAGUUUCAUCCCAAGUUGACAUGCCAAUGUUCUGUGAACCUUUUAUAAAGGAGUAUAUUUUUAAAGUAAAUACAUUGUAAUGUACUGUGAACUUGUAGGGUGCUUUUCAACAGUGUUUGUACAGUGUAAAUAGAUCAUGAAAAUAAAUUUACCGAUAUUACUGCAUAAAAAAAAAAAAAAAGAAAAAACACAGAAUACUUGAGUUCCCUUUAAAGUGGUAUGGAGGCAAGGGUCUAUGUGUUUACGUUGCUGUCGUUCAGUCGCCAAGUUGUGUCCAAUUCUUUGCGACCUA